rnacentral:rRNA from 1 species
UACGGGGGGGGCAAGCGUUGUUCGGAAUUACUGGGCGUAAAGGGCUCGUAGGUGGCCAACUAAGUCGGACGUGAAAUCCCUCAGCUUAACUGGGGAACUGCGUCCGAUACUGGAUGGCUCGAGUUUGGGAGAGGGAUGCGGAAUUCCAGGUGUAGCGGUGAAAUGCGUAGAUAUCUGGAGGAACACCGGUGGCGAAGGCGGCAUCCUGGACCAACACUGACACUGGGGAGCGAAAGCCAGGGGAGCAAACGGG